AAACAUCUGAGCCUUAAAACUAUUGAGGCAGUCUGAACAGGUGGUAAUAUGAUCUUCCUUGACAGUAUUGUUUCCAAAUUCCAAGAAUCUGGAUUAUCGCACAGUUGUUCCACGGUUUCCUGUCAAAAUGUUAAUUAAUAACGAUAGAAGUAUGACCUUUUGUGUACAAUUAUGUAUCAUCCAAAGAAAACUAGCUCAGCAUA
rnacentral:lncRNA from 1 species